rnacentral:rRNA from 1 species
UGGGGAAUUUUGGACAAUGGGGGACACCCUGAUCCAGCCAUCCCGCGUGUGCGAUGAAGGCCUUCGGGUUGUAAAGCACUUUUGGCAGGAAAGAAACGUCAUGGGUUAAUACCCCGUGAAACUGACGGUACCUGCAGAAUAAGCACCGGCUAACUACGUGCCAGCAGCCGCGGUAAUACGUAGGGUGCAAGCGUUAAUCGGAAUUACUGGGCGUAAAGCGUGCGCAGGCGGUUCGGAAAGAAAGAUGUGAAAUCCCAGAGCUCAACUUUGGAACUGCAUUUUUAACUACCGGGCUAGAGUGUGUCAGAGGGAGGGGAAAUUCCGCGUGUAGCAGUAAAAUGCGUAGAUAUGCGGAGGAACACCGAUGGCGAAGGCAGCCUCCUGGGAUAACACUGACGCUCAUGCACGAAAGCGUGGGGAGCAAACAGG